UCAACAGAACCCAGAAGAGAAAGGUGAAGACAGUGCCAUGUGCACUGCCAUGUGAUGAAAAAGCCAAGGAACCGCAAGCAAGCCUUCUAGCCUCUGAACAUGUGAGCCAAGACACUCCCGUUAAUUAAGCCAAUCCAUGGUAUAGUAUUUGUUUUAGCAGCCAGGAAACCAAUACAGGCAGAAUAAGGAAAAUCAACUGAGCACAGAUCACUCAAUGCAGAGAGAUUGACGUGAGCAAUAGCACGCCCCACACAGUCAUACAAUUCUUGGGUAAUAAUUACCAUGAGACAUUUUGCAGCUGUAGUUGAGGGAAAGAAUCCUCCUUAGUACAACCACAAAGACUCAGUCUUUUCUGCAAAUAUAUGUAAGCUACAGAAUAUAAGGAGUCAGCUUUCUAGGGAAGACCUACCUGGGAAAGCACAAAGAAGAGCAGCAACACAAGAAGAAGAAAAGAGACUAUAGCAACUACUCAGUGUGGAGAAAUAACUACCUGUUGAAAUAUGGGAAAAGGAAAAGAGAAGAUUCAGAGAGACCAAAAUAACAUGAAUGCCUUGGAAAGUCUUAAAGGGGUAGAAGUGGAACUCUUCUCAGCACCUGGCUGGUCUGGCUCCAAAUCCUAAGAGGAGAAAACAGUUCUACAUCACUGCUGGAGAAUGAGGAGGUGAGUAAGUAUAGAAUAGAAAGAAUUUUCUCUUUUUUUAAAUCUCAACCAGUGGUAGCUG